AAGCGUUAUCCGGAAUUAUUGGGCGUAAAGGGUGUGUGGGUGGUCUUGUGCGUCUUCUGUGAAAUUCUUCGGCUUAACCGGGGGUCCGCAGGGGAAACGGCAGGACUAGAGGAUGCGAGAGGUGUGCGGAACUCAUGGUGUAGGGGUGAAAUCCGUUGAUAUCAUGGGGAACACCGAAAGCGAAGGCAGCACACUGGCGCACUCCUGACACUGAAACACGAAAGCGUGGGUAGCGAAUGGG
rnacentral:rRNA from 1 species